CAAUAAUCGUAGAACAUACACCAUCAACAGUAGUACUGUAUUUUACGAUAUAAAAGUUCAAGAAACCAAUAAUUACAAAAUGCCAAAAGUAAUGUUCGCAUUCAUUGCAUUACUCGUCAUUAUUGUCAUGAUGGAAAAGACUGCCGAGGCUUGCACCGGAAUAUUGGGCUCGUGCAACGAGCAUGACGACUGCUGUUCAAUGUGGUGUGCCCAUUCAGACUUUUUUGGCCUUCGAUACUGCAGUGUCAAGACAAAAUAAAAUAAUAAAAUUAUGAUUAAAAUUCAGUGCCGGGUUUAAUUUUACGUUUUUUAUUUAUUCAAUUAGUAUUUGUACUAAUAAAAAAAGUGUAUACUUUUAGUAAAUCAAUUAUGAUAAUA